UGGCUCAGAUUGAACGCUGGCGGCAGGCCUAACACAUGCAAGUCGAGCGGCAGCACGGGUACUUGUACCUGGUGGCGAGCGGCGGACGGGUGAGUAAUGCCUAGGAAUCUGCCUGGUAGUGGGGGAUAACGUUCGGAAACGAACGCUAAUACCGCAUACGUCCUACGGGAGAAAGCAGGGGACCUUCGGGCCUUGCGCUAUCAGAUGAGCCUAGGUCGGAUUAGCUAGUUGGUGAGGUAAUGGCUCACCAAGGCGACGAUCCGUAACUGGUCUGAGAGGAUGAUCAGUCACACUGGAACUGAGACACGGUCCAGACUCCUACGGGAGGCAGCAGUGGGGAAUAUUGGACAAUGGGCGAAAGCCUGAUCCAGCCAUGCCGCGUGUGUGAAGAAGGUCUUCGGAUUGUAAAGCACUUUAAGUUGGGAGGAAGGGCAGUUACCUAAUACGUAAUUGUUUUGACGUUACCGACAGAAUAAGCACCGGCUAACUCUGUGCCAGCAGCCGCGGUAAUACAGAGGGUGCAAGCGUUAAUCGGAAUUACUGGGCGUAAAGCGCGCGUAGGUGGUUCGUUAAGUUGGAUGUGAAAUCCCCGGGCUCAACCUGGGAACUGCAUUCAAAACUGUCGAGCUAGAGUAUGGUAGAGGGUGGUGGAAUUUCCUGUGUAGCGGUGAAAUGCGUAGAUAUAGGAAGGAACACCAGUGGCGAAGGCGACCACCUGGACUGAUACUGACACUGAGGUGCGAAAGC
rnacentral:rRNA from 1 species